AGAGUUUUAAGGUUUGAUUUUAUUUUUGGUUAUUCGCUGCCUCUCCUCUCUUACGCCUUGGGCUCAAAUUCUAAUCAGUGAAGAGAGAUCAACAAGUUUUCAAUCUCCAGAUCCGCGCUCUAAAACCCUCUCUUCCUUUUCAAAAGACGCGGAUCUGAAGCUUAAGCCAUUGCUCACAAACAAACCACUGUUAAUUUUUCAACCUCCACAGCUCCAUUUUUGCACGCCUCUCUCUCUCUUCAGCUUUACUAAAUAUGAUAACUGUGGUUUGUAUUUUGAGAGUUACUAAUUUAUGCUUGCUUUCUAGUUUAAAUGGCUGCA